rfam:Equus caballus chromosome 5, whole genome shotgun sequence.
AGCUACAGCCAUAACACCCUGAACACACUCAUCUUGUCUGAUCUCAGAAACUUAGCAGGGUCAGACCUGGUUAGUACUCAGAAGUGAGACAGCCUGGGAAUACCAGGUGCUAUAGGCU